CCCAGAAAUGGACACAGUCGCCUAAACAUGGCCUCACAGAGGUGGAGCAGAGAGGGAGGGAGGAUCACCUUUCUCAAUCUGCUGGCUGCACUCUUUUUAAUGCACCCCAGGAUACAUUAGCUUUCUUGGCCACAAGGGCACACUGCUGGCUCAUGACAAACCUGUUGUCCGCUUGGACUCUCAGAUUCUUCUUUGCACAAAUCCUCUCUAGCAGAUCAUCUACUAACCUGCACUGAUUGAUGCAAUUUGUCUACCCCAGGUGCAAGACUUUACACCUGCUCUUGAUAAAUCUCAUCAGACUCUUCCCUGCCCAAUUCUCUGGCCUGUCCAGGUCUUGUUGAAUGGUGGCACAGCCAUCAGGCAUGUCAGCCAAUUCUCCCAACUUUGUAUCACCAGCAAACUUGCUGAGGAUGGACUUUAUCUCUUCAUUCAAGUCACUGAUGAAGAUGUUGAACAACACUGGACCCAAUAUUGACCCCGGGGGAAUACCACUAGUUACCACUAGGCCUCCAGCUAGCCUCUGCACCACUGAACUCUUCCAGUCAGCCAGUUCUCAAUCUGCCUUAUUGUCCACUCAUCUACUCCACAUUUUCUAAGUUUCGUUAACAAGAAUGUUGUGGGAGAUGUUGUCAAAUGCCUUGCUGAAGUCAACAUCCACUGCUCUCCCACAUUUACCCAGCCAGUGAUGACAUCAUAGAAGUCUAUCAGGUUGGUCUAGAAUGAUUUCCCAUUGGAGAAUCCACUUUGACUACUCCUGAUAAUCUUCUUCUCUUCCAAUUGCUUGAAGGUGGUAUCCAGAACAAGUUGUUCUUUCACCUUGCCAGGGACAGAGGUUAGGCUGACUGGUCUGGAUGGUAUAGUUUGUAUCUGCUAUACAACUUCUGCCGAUAUUUUAGUUUUUACAAGAGCCAGUUCUUCUUUAAGCUGAGAGCUCUGUUCAUUUGCCAGGCAGCAGGAGGAGGCUGAUCUCACUAUGUCUGACAGAAACUACUCAAGCCCACAGUUUUCAUUUUCUGGUUUCAACUACUUAUCUUAUGUUUGAGAAAAUAUAAUUAUGGAUUGUGAUCAUUUGUUUCCUGGAAAGCAAAACUCUGCUACUGUAUCAAAGCUGACUCAGCAACUCACAUCUGGUUUUAAUAUGCUCAUGCAAACCAAAAUGGGAACAUAACAGUCUAUCUUAGAGCAUGCAAAAUCAUAAAAAUGGAUAAUGAUCGUAAGAGUCCUAAUCUUCUGGAGAACAUUUACUUUGACUAAUUUUCCCAGUGUCCAGAGGGUAGUGUGGUUGAGAAGUAUUUCAAUUCUGUUAAAACAAAACAAAACAAACAAACAAAAAAAAACAAUCCCCCCAAAAGAUAAGAAUUUUCCUGUUCUUCCAGGAAUAUUAUUUCUUAGAAAUUGGGAAUUUCAAUGAUGUAAAAUGCUGGAAUGAAAAACUAUUUUCAUGGGAAAACUUCCAAGAAGGAACUGUCCUUUAAAUAAGAAUACAUAUGACUUCAUGCAUAUUGUUAUUGAACUCUUCAAAUUGUCCAAAGUCCACACUUCAAGAAUGACAGUAGUCUGAAAAAUGUGUCAGUAAGAAAAGCAUUAUGUGGCUCUGUGUUUAUUGUAUUCUCAUGCUUUCUCUAUCUAAAAUGCUCAGUUUAACUUGGCGGGUAACUCUGGGAGUUAAAUUGACAGGGCUGAAUCAGAGUCACAGAGUCAAAGGAUAAUGCAGGUGCGAAGCCUUUACUCACAAUAUCUCUAGCCUAACCUCCUGUUCAAAGCCAGGUCACUUCAUGCUCAAACGAACUGCUCAGGGCAGUAUCAGAUGAACACUCCAAAGAUGAGGACUGUACUAACUCAUGCGGCAGUGUGCUCCAUUGCUUAGGACAGAAUGAAGGUUUCAAGACAAAAUUGUGUUACUGUCACUGCAUUGGGUGUACAUGGCAAGGUUUUGGUAGCCUGGGGGCUGCGGGAGUGAGAAAAUGUGAACGAAACAACCUUCAGACCCCAAAGGUAAGUGAAGAAGGAGGUGCUCCAGGCACUAGAAUAGGUUCUACUGCAGCCAGUGGAGAAGACUAUAGUGAAAAAGGCUAUUUUUCUGCAGCCCAUGGAGGACCAUGAUGGAGCUGAUAUCCACUCUGCAACCCAUAGAGAACCACAUCAGAGGUGCAGUUUUAUUCCCCCCACUGUCCUGUUGAGCACAGACAGUGAGUGAGUGGCAUAGUGUGCAUCUGGCAAACAGCCAAGGUCAACCCAACAGUCAUAGAGCUUAGCUAGGCAUCAGUAGCUGAUAGCAGCAGUAAUUCAAUUAACACUCCAGCAGGUUAAUCUCUUAAAAGAAAUAUAGCAAAAUUCCUGCCUACUCAGUCAGCUAUUUUCAUUUUAGAAGGUAACAGCCCUAGAAUGAGGGAAAAUGCAGAGCCAAAAAUCAUCAUUAAAAGUUGUGGGAUUUUUUUUUUCCUGUCUUUUGGAACAGUAUCUGAGUAUGAAAAGAAUGAAUUAUAACUCAUUUCUAAAGAAACAAUCUAUCACAAUAGAUACUUAGGAACACUGAGGAAGGUGGUAAUAGGAAGAGAAAUUUAGUCAUUGCAUGUAAAUAUUUUGCGUCAGUAUAUGUUCUGUAAUUUAGACAUAUCUAUGGAUUGCUUACUUUAAAAGGAGCAACUUUUGAAUUCUGACUUAAUUUUAGCUCUUGCUGAAAGAAAGAUGGAAUGAAAUCUGUGCAUGAGCAGGUACAUGCACAAAAAAGAAGAACAGAGGUGCCCAGACAGUCAGCAUGUGGCUGGGAGGCUGAAAGAAAACCAACAUUUCUUUGGGCAGACUGGUACAUGUACAUGAAACUUGGGCAGACAGCUAAGUGGUCACCUUGCCAUAACAAACUGCUCAUAUCCCUGUUUGGACAAAUGGUAAUGAGUGCUACUGUGUGUGUGUAAAGUUAGAAGCUGUUUAUUAAAUCACUCAUCCCAAACUGUUGUUUUAAACGUGCCAUAUAGGUAGUGGCAGCUUCACAAAUGAUCAGUAGUCAUCACUGGCUAAUCCAUCUCACCAACAUGCCAGCUGAGCAGUAAGCAGCAUCCAUGGCUGCAGCAUUUUUAUUCCUUCUCUGCCUGCCAAUAAGGGUUUAUGGGAUAGAGAAAAUAAAUAAUGAUCUUUGCAUUUCAUUCUAACCACAGAAUGUGUUCUAGUGCUUUGUUCAAUCCAAUUUUAAAAUUCUCAUGAGAUAGAGCUACAACUAAAAAUCCAAGCCCAGCGGGUAGCUAUUCCACAGCCUAUUAGAACUUGCUAUAAUUUUUCUUCUAGAUAUUCAAGACUUUGUUUUGGAAUUCUCCGUGGACUUCAUUAGACUUAAUUGUCCCCUUCUUUCACUUAUCAUUGUGGUUGGUAGAAGUUCAACUCCUUUUUAACAUGAAAGAGGCUUAGCUAUAUACUUAAUACCCAAUUUUAAAAUAAAAAAUAAGAAUGCAGUCCAAAACUUGUCUAAGGAAGGACUAUGAACAAGUAUACUACUUUCUAUGUCAUCUGUCAGUGUAAAUCUCUUGCUCCCCAUCUGUGCUGUCUGAAGGUUAUAUCAGUCAAAUUGUAAUGUCUUUGGACAGUAGACAUCCCUCUAAAGAUGGUGUUUCAAGAAAUAUUACGUAUUAAAAGGUUAAAAAAUAAGAAAACAGUAGCAGUGGAGAGAGAAAAAAGUUCUCCCGUCAGGCCAAUUGAUUCUAAAAGCAGGGUCACUGAAUGUAGCAUUAUUUCUGCUGGUCAUGUUUCUUUCCUACCAGAGCUCCAAAGUAAGCUAACUGUGUAAGCAGGAUUGAAAUACACAACCCCCUUGUGACUGGAAGCAGUAAAGCAUUCUCCACUUGCGGUUUUCUUCAAAUGAGCCUGCAUGGAAUAUGUGUUUGAAAACAGUGAAACUCUUUAUUAAUCAAGUACUUCACUUGCCAUGCCAGCAUAAAGUUUCAUUUAUGUCAGAACUCCCUUAAAAAUGGUUUGGAGUAGUGUCUUGUACACAGAGCUUCAACAGAAGAAAUAUUUUUGGAAUUGUAAAUACAAUAAUCAAGGCAAAUAUUUGCCCAGUUUGAGAAGCUGCUGUAAGAUCUUCAAUCAUAGGUUACAGUUCUGACAUUUUAUUUUGGUUUCCUACUGUAUGGAAAUGGGCAGACUGUACAGCUCUGCAUCCAAAAUGCAGCAUCAGACAAGCCAUCCUAAUGACUAGAGGAUUACCAUAUUUUGUGCUCAGAAGAAAUAUAUCACAACAAGGAAACCAAAAUCUAGAUAUCCCAAUAAGGAGAAGCUGCAAAAAGGAAACCAAGAGUUUCAUGUCAGUUCAUUGUUAACUCAAGGCUUGUUGUCCCGUGUACAGAAUCUCUUUGAAAAUUUAGUUAACUAUAUAGCUAAAAGAGCUUUAAAGAGAUGCAUGUUUUUUCAUGAAUGUGACUCCUAGCAUUCUGUAUGGGAACUGCUGAAUCAGGGCCUGAACCUCUGACUGAUCACCUGAGGCGAGCACUGGGUCAGCCUCGGGAGCACAGCUGAAGGCAAUUCACCUGUGCUGCCGGAAGCGGUGGAGCCUGGCUGCACCUCUCCUAGACCCAUUUAAGAGCUGACUACCAGUAGGGAAGGAUCUGUUCUGGAGAUCCACUCCACUAGAGUUUCCUAUGUGAGCCCAGGAUGCGGGUGCGCCUUCUGAAUUGGUCACACAGCCCCAGCCAGGCUCUUAAUGGAAUGAUGACACUAACGCUGCAACAAUAGAAAGGGCUCCAGGGAUGCUGGCUGUAGAGCAGAGGUGCAGGGUGAUGUCCAGAACAAAGAAAGUCUGUGGUGUUUAUCUGUAUGUGUGGUCCAGCUCCCAGCUGUGUUCUAAGUCAACUGGUUUCAUGCUGGAAUGAGCUGAACUUCUCAUCAUGGAAGAGGAAAAACAAUGAGCCCAGGAAUAUGGCAUGAGGCUGUGACAUCUCUCGGGUCACACCGGCAGUAUUUUAAGGCAAGUAAAGUAGCACAGUUUUCUUGCAAUAAGGGAGUAUUUUGAUUUGUGGAAA